rnacentral:RNase_P_RNA from 21 species
CAAGAGGGGCGAGCAAGCGCAGGCAGCCGCACAAGGCUGUCCUGAGGAAAGUCCGGACUCCGUGGGCAGGAUGCUAGCUAACGGCUAGGUGGCGUGAGCCACGGAUAGGGCCAUAGAAACGGAAACCGCCUGAAAGGUUAUUCCGAGUAAGGCAAGGGUGGAAAGGUGAGGUAAGAGCUCACCAGCAGUGCAGUAAUGCACUGGCUUGGCAACCCACAUCCGGAGCAAGGUCAAACAGGGGGUUGGGCGGCCCCACUCUAAAUCCCCCGGGUAGACCGCUUAGACAGAUGCUUGCUCAAGACAGAAUCCGGCUUACAGCCCCUCUUGAGCU